GACGAACGCUGGCGGCGUGCUUAACACAUGCAAGUCGAACGGAAAGGCCCUGCUUUUGUGGGGUGCUCGAGUGGCGAACGGGUGAGUAACACGUGAGUAACCUGCCCUUGACUUUGGGAUAACUUCAGGAAACUGGGGCUAAUACCGGAUAGGAGCUCCUGCUGCAUGGUGGGGGUUGGAAAGUUUCGGCGGUUGGGGAUGGACUCGCGGCUUAUCAGCUUGUUGGUGGGGUAGUGGCUUACCAAGGCUUUGACGGGUAGCCGGCCUGGGAGGGUGACCGGCCACAUUGGGACUGAGAUACGGCCCAGACUCCUACGGGAGGCAGCAGUGGGGAAUAUUGCACAAUGGGCGGAAGCCUGAUGCAGCAACGCCGCGUGCGGGAUGACGGCCUUCGGGUUGGAAACCGCUUUCGCCUGUGACGAAGCGUGAGUGACGGUAAUGGGUAAAGAAGCACCGGCUAACUACGUG
rnacentral:rRNA from 1 species